CAGGUCUUGACAUCCUUUGACCACCCUAGAGAUAGGGCUUUCCCUUCGGGGACAAAGUGACAGGUGGUGCAUGGUUGUCGUCAGCUCGUGUCGUGAGAUGUUGGGUUAAGUCCCGCAACGAGCGCAACCCCUAUUAUUAGUUGCCAGCAUUCAGUUGGGCACUCUAGUGAGACUGCCGGUGAUAAACCGGAGGAAGGUGGGGAUGACGUCAAAUCAUCAUGCCCCUUAUGACCUGGGCUACACACGUGCUACAAUGGAUGGUACAACGAGUCGCAAGGUCGCGAGGCCAAGCUAAUCUCUUAAAGCCAUUCUCAGUUCGGAUUGUAGGCUGCAACUCGCCUGCAUGAAGCCGGAAUCGCUAGUAAUCGCGGAUCAGCACGCCGCGGUGAAUACGUUCCC
rnacentral:rRNA from 1 species